rnacentral:rRNA from 1 species
AUGCAAAAAGAAUCUCUCCCCGUUCCUGCAGGCCCACCCACAUGGAAAGAGAAUCCUCGUACAUUUGCUCGCCUCUCUCCCCGCACUGCCUCCUCGCGCCGCCCCGCUUCCUCACCGCUCCAGCCGCGCUCGCCGCUCGCCUCCUCGCUGCUCCGGCCGCGCUCGCCUCCUCGCUGCUCCGGCCGCGCUCGCCUCCCCGCGUCCUCACCGCUCCGGCCGCGCUCGCCUCGCCGCGGGCUCCGACUCCACUGCCUCAGCCUCCACGACAACGCCAUCGCCGGGGCCGUCCCCAGCUCGCUCGGCUUCCUCCCCGACCUCCGCGGCCUCUACCUCUUCAACAACCGCUUCUCCGGCGCCGUCCCGCCCGAGUUCGGCCGCUGCCUUGCACUGCAGUCGUUCGACGCUAGCAGCUCGUCUUCCUCAGCCUCGCGCACAACUCGCUCAACGGGAGGCCGCGGCUGCCCUCCCCUUCGCCGUCGUGGCCCCGAUGACGACUACUUCCCGGAGUCGAGCACGGACACGGGCUCCCUGACAGAGGUGUCGGGCACCACCACGCUGUGCAGCAGGAAGGCAAACACGUUCGCCAUGGACGGGGGUUGGUGGAAGAGGGUCAGAAACACGUUCGCCAAAGUCCCUGAAAUUGUGCGCGUCGUUCACGACAUGCGAGUCGGUGGUUGCCACGAGGAGUUCCGGACGGCGAGGGAGCAGUGCCGCCGCGAACGGGAACGGCGGAGAGCCAUGGCCGACAGCAAGCCCGGGGACGAUGUCGUCUCGUGCGCCAAGGCGACGGCCGCGCUGCGCAAGUGCAUGGAGGGCAAGGACGUCUUGGCCAAGCACCUCGUCGCCAUGGAUGACGGCAUCAGGGAGGACGAGUGGCAGGGGUGGGAUCCCUAUAUGCAGGCGAAGCGGGCCGCCGGGUAUAGAUGGUGGACCGGCAUGAAGAAGUGUGAAGAAGAGUACUACUAG